UACGUAGGGGGCAAGCGUUGUCCGGAAUCAUUGGGCGUAAAGCGCGUGUAGGCGGUCCGGUAAGUCGGCUGUGAAAGUCCAGGGCUCAACCCUGGGAUGCCGGUCGAUACUGUUUUGACUGGAGUCCGGUAGAGGAGUGCGGAAUUCCUGGUGUAGCGGUGAAAUGCGCAGAUAUCAGGAGGAACACCAACGGCGAAGGCAGCACUCUGGGCCGGUACUGACGCUGUGACGCGAAAGCGUGGGGAGCGAACAGG
rnacentral:rRNA from 1 species